CAGCAGCCGCGGUAAAACGUAGGGUGCGAGCGUUAAUCGGAAUUACUGGGCGUAAAGCGUGCGCAGGCGGUUCGUUAAGACAGAUGUGAAAUCCCCGGGCUUAACCUGGGAACUGCAUUUGUGACUGGCGAGCUAGAGUAUGGUAGAGGGGGGUAGAAUUCCACGUGUAGCAGUGAAAUGCGUAGAGAUGUGGAGGAAUACCGAUGGCGAAGGCAGCCCCCUGGGCCAAUACUGACGCUCAUGCACGAAAGCGUGGGGAGCAAACAGGAUUAGAGACCCGCGUAGUCCCUAUCUCUUAUAC
rnacentral:rRNA from 1 species